rnacentral:lncRNA from 1 species
UGAUUAUUAUUCAAAACGAACCUCGCUGACAUUUCUUUUUCCCCAUUUCCGUUUUUACCCUUCACUCGGUUAGGGUUCAACAAAGUUGACUCAGAUCGGAGCAACCUCUCUCUGUAAGCUGAUCGAGAACCAAACAAGAAGAAGAAGACAAUCAUGUCUAGACAAGUCGCAAGGCUCCUCGGAUCUCUGUCUCGCCGCUGCUCAAGCACCAGCUCCGAAGCUAUUCCUCCGACUCUCAGCUCGUUCACCCAAUCUCGCUCAUUCGCGUCGGAUCCUCCCCCUCCAGCCGCCGUCUUCGUCGACAAAAACACCAGAGUCAUGUGCCAAGGGAUCACCGGAAAGAACGGGACUUUCCACACCGAGCAAGCCAUUGAGUACGGCACCAAAAUGGUAAAGUCUUCACCUUUUUGAAGUGAUUUGAAUUAAAGAUUGUAGCUUUAUGCUAAUUAUGUGUGUGUUGAUUGUGUAAUUAACUUUUUUUUCCUCAAUUUGAUUUAAAGCUUGUGGCUUUCUAGUGGUUCCUCCUCAAUUUGAUUUAAAGAUUGUAGCUUUAUGCUAAUUAUGUGUGUUUGAUUGUGUGAUUAGGUGGCAGGAGUGACGCCAAAGAAGGGAGGAACGGAGCACUUAGGCCUCCCUGUGUUCAACUCUGUUGCUGAAGCAAAAGCUGAGACCAAAGCCAAUGCCUCUGUGAUCUAUGUUCCCGCGCCUUUCGCUGCUGCUGCUAUUAUGGAGGGGAUAGAAGCUGAGUUGGAUCUUAUUGUGUGUAUUACUAAGAUAAAGUGACUUCGUAUCAACAUUUAAAAAUUGUAAAAAUUCUGGAGUUCUUAAAUUCAUUUCUACGAAGUCAAUAAUUUUUUUUGUUAUUAAAAAAUAAAAAUUAAUAUUUUUUGUCAUUUAAAAAUUGGGCGGUAUUGUUAUCUUAAAAAUUCAUUUUGUAAAGUAUAUGUUUAUAGCAAAUUUUCGAAGAUUAACUCUAAUAAAAAAUGUUAAAUUACUGUAAUAGAAAUCUCAUAUUCAUUAUCCAAAAUGGCAUCAUAGCCAUGAUCACCUUGGUGUUUGGAACUUAUCCAAACUCUAAAAAAAUGGCAUCAACCAUUUCAUCAUCUUCUUACAAUCAUUUCAGAGAUUUACACAAUCCAGAGUUUUCUAUAAGAGAAGAUAAGAAAAUGUUUUUUUCUUUCUGAAUUUGUCAUCUCAUCAAAUAUAAACAUAAUAGAAAUAAAAUGAAAAUUUGGUAUGUCCCUCCAAAUUUUGAAGAAACGUUGGGUUGUAAUGGAGAAACUUUAAAAUGUUUAAAAAAAUCUAAAGUCAAUAAAAUAAAAGGACGAAUGAAAUUUCUUAUCGGAUAUUAUGAUAAUCACAACCAAUGGGGUUCAAGAUUUGGAAAACAACUACAUCACAUAUGCCCUUUUUCUAUUCAAUGAAAUUUACAUGACCAUUCCAUUUUCAUCGUAAAACAUAUUAAAGAGUUUAGUGGGACAUCUUUGAACAAGGAUUGUGCAUCCCAUUUUUCUCCAAAUCUUCAAUCCUAUUUUUCAGUUACAUUUAAAAUCUGUCUAAAUAGAAACAUAUAUAACCAAAAUGUAUAAAAAUUUAAAUAAAAAAUAUAUGAUUGGUUGUGAUUCAUCAAGAGGAGAAGAGGAGUUACUCUGAUCAGAUGAUCUAAAUGUUGUCUGAAUAAUUCCAGAUGAUGCUGACGGUAUUGCUGAGGGGAAACGGGAGCGCGUAUCUCAUAUAUGUACCAUCUACCAAAUUGUAGUAUACUACGAAGACAUAUCUCUCUCUAGUAAAAAUAAAUGUUUCUUUGAAACUAAAGAUAAUUCUUUCAUUUGGGGACAGCCCUUCAAAAUAUAGCCUUACUAGAGCAAUGGUGGAAAUUGUCGGUAGAGAUUAUCAGGAGUGUUCAGUGAGGAGAUGCAUGAGCAGCUUCAUGUAGUAUCCACAAUUUAAAAGUGCUGCAUUUAACCCAGCGCAAUGCCAAACCUAGAUUACUUAUGUAGUUUAUAAGCACAAAGGUUGGGGUUGUACACCCCGUUUUACUCAGUUCUUCAGACAUGUUAAUCAUGCCGCUGAAUGUUUAAGGCAUCAAGUCUAGUUUGACUAAAAUAUGUCCUGGGUAAUCACAACCAAUGAAGUUUCAAGAUCUGGAAAACACUUAUAUCACAUCUAUUUUGAAACUAAACAACGUAGAAGAUAUUAUCAUUAAAGAUAUUUUCAUUUUGUAAAACAUGUUAAACAAUUUUGUGGGACACCUUUGAACAAGUAUUGUGCAUCCCAUUUCUCUCCAAAUCUUCCAUUCCAAUUUUCAAUUACAUUAAAAAUCUGUCUAAAUAGAAAAACAUACAACCAAAAAUUAUAACAAUUUAAAUCACGAUAGAUAUAUUAACUAGAACUAGAACAUGUUCAAUUUUAUAUAUAACAUUAGUAGAUGAUUAUCUUUGUUAGUUUCGAUUACGGAAGACAAUAUUAUACAUGUAGAAAAAUGUACUUUUUAUUUAUUCAAAAUUAAGAAGUUAUGAUAUGUUUGGUAAGUUUUUCGAUAACAUGAAUUAUGCAAUUAGAACCUCUAACAGGUAUGUAAUGUUUAUCUGCUUUAAAUUUCCAGCUGAUAGCAUAAUCCAAUUCAUAAGAAGUAAUCUAUUAACAAACAAAACAUACAGACUAAAUUAAAAAUGCAUAAUCAUAUUACCAAAAAGAAGAGAUUAAAAAAAAUAGUUAGACUAAACUUCAAAAAUCAAAUAAUCACAAGAAAAUUUAUGAUUUAAGAAACUACAAAACAAACACAUCAAACAUCCUAACAAAUAAGAAUGUCAAACAAUGCUUUCACUUCAUGGUCAACACAAAAACUUCCUUUCAGCUUAGCUUCAAGAUUCUCUGAAAUUAACUCCUCCUCUAGAUAAAACAGCAAACAUCAUUUAACCAAAAUAUAUAUUUUGCGGUAGAGAUCAAUUUAGUUUUGAAUAAAACGUCAAGCAAUGACUUUACCUCCUAUAUUGUUUCUCAAAUCAAUUUGGGAUCACUCUCUCUAUUCUUCUAGGUGUAUGAUUCAAAACUUCAAAUGUUGUAUGUACUAUAUAUAUUAUUAUAAAGAUUAUUGGGCUUGGGCUAAAACUUCAAAAGCCUCUUUUGAUCUGCUGAUUAUUAUUCAAAACGAACCUCGCUGACAUUUCUUUUUCCCCAUUUCCGUUUUUACCCUUCACUCGGUUAGGGUUCAACAAAGUUGACUCAGAUCGGAGCAACCUCUCUCUGUAAGCUGAUCGAGAACCAAACAAGAAGAAGAAGACAAUCAUGUCUAGACAAGUCGCAAGGCUCCUCGGAUCUCUGUCUCGCCGCUGCUCAAGCACCAGCUCCGAAGCUAUUCCUCCGACUCUCAGCUCGUUCACCCAAUCUCGCUCAUUCGCGUCGGA